CCCUCUCCAUUCUCAUCUUCCUUCCCUAAUCCUUCUUACUCCUCCCCCUUCUCCCCGCCUGUCCCUAUUCUCCAGCUCCUCUCCCCCUUAUUUCUUACCCUCACUCCUCUAUCUCCAGCCUCUAGCCCCUAUCCCCCUUACUCCUCCCCUUCACCCUCCCUGUCCCUCAAGCCCUUACUCUGCCUCCUCCCCUCUUCUUUAUCGUUUCCCUUCCUUUCUCGCCCCCCUCCUCUUCCCCUCCCUUGUCCUCUGAUCUUCCUGGCUCCAGCUCUGAGGUGACCUAGACCUUCAGCUGCCCGGGAGCCAUAAGGAGUGCCCAAAGCCCCUCCAGCUCGGGGGAAGGGGGAGGGGAGGAAGACGAGGAGGGGGAGGAAGAGAGGGGGAGCGAGAGCGGGUCAGUGAGGGGCCAGGCUCCCUGGGCAGAUGUUGAAGCUGCGGAAAAUAAAGAGGAGAGAAUGGAAUGGAUUGCAGGGAGGGUUUGGGGCUGACAAAGGUGACCGCUAUGGGGGAUGGGGCGGAGAGGUCAUUGACUGUUAUUACCUCCUCUUCCAUCCCAGGAGGUCGUUUUGCAGCUUUCCUAUCCCCUCCUCCUCCUGGGGAUGUUAUUGUUGGGGGGGAGGUUUAAGAGCAGCUGCUGAGGGAAGCCGGGGGCAGAAGAUGCUAUCACUUCUCAGACACGUGGCCCAGUCUGGCCCAUCUGCUGCGCCUUGGAGGCCCUGAGUAUCGCCCCCCCCGCCCCGCCCCCCCCGGACCCCAGUCGAAGGGGCAGAGAGCUGGAGACCUACUGGAGACUCCAUGUGACCAGUCUUGCUACCACAAAGGAACUCAGAGUAUAGAAAGAAAGAUUUAAGACAUCAGAGAUGCCCCUGCUGAUUUCACAGAUCUGUCAAAAUCCUGAAUGGGAACCUAGCAUAGGACAUCAGGACUGAAGAGGCUGAAUUCCAGGGUCCUGAGCAGCUUCUCUCAGGGUGAGGUAAAGGUUUUACUUGACCCCUGCUCCUGUGUAACACAUAAACUUUUCAUUAUUCUGGAACAGUAAGUCUCUUGUGUAAGUCAUUCCCUGCACCCUUUAUUUCUGAGCCCUGAUCCCUUGUCUGUCAUGGGUAUCCAGUUUCACUGAUGUCCACCCCCUUCCACGCUGGGCUAAACUCUGGACUCAACUCUGGACUCCCCCACCUACCCUGUCUACCAUCUGCCUUAUUGGGGACUUCUCUCACCCUAGCUCUGUUCCCAACCUGGAAGAAGAGUUCUGUCACUCUUGAUGCCCCUGGAGAAUGAUAGCACCAGGGUGACCAGUCCCUUGGUCUGGGAUAGGACCUCAGACUCCCCAGUUUCCAGCUCCCUGUCUUUGGUCCAUCUCUCCACCCUCCUCCAACCCUGCGAGCCUCUUCAGCUUGAAGGAACCUAGAAUUUAAGAGCCCAUCUCCCUUAAAGCCUUCCUCCUGCAGGAAGGCAGAGCAAGGAAGAGCUGGAAGAGGACUUAAUCAUCCCAAGACUGCAGAUUGAGAGAUGAAACAGAUCUACGAGGUCAUCUCAUCCAACCCCUCUCAUUUUAUAGAUGGGGUCACUGAAUGGACCUGGCCAAGGUGACACAGCAAAUCAAUGGCUGAACCAGUACUCAAAACUAGGUGUCCUGACCCCUAAUCUGGAAAUUUCUAUAGGAAUAAAAAAGAAACCCAACACAUUUUUGUUCAAAAAUGUAGCUAGCAUUUAUAUAGCAUUUUGCUUGCAAAGCACUCAUAUAUGUCGUGUGUGUGUGUAUACACCUCAUUAAAGAAUCAAAUUCAGUCCUUUCAACUGCUCCGGGAGCCUAAGUCUGAGAAGGAAGGGUCUGUGUAAUUUGAGGAAAAGACAGGAUACUGUCCUAUUUUCCACCCAGAGCUACAGGAAGCUACACAGUGACACUGGCAAUAUUUGUUGACAAAUCUGAUCAAGUUGUGGCCUGUCAGGUGUCUGCAGUAUAAACAUUAGAUGGGGGCUGGCUAAUUGCAUUUUUAUGUGGAAGGAAUGGCAACCAGAGGUCUCAUGAUCUUCAAACAAGUCUGAUUUCUGGGCUGUGACUUCUGGUUUUAGGGAGAUGCCAGAGGGAUCCCUGGGCCUUUUUCAGAGUUCUCAAACCUCAGAGCUAGAAGGAACCUCACAGGCACCUCGGUCCCAUCCCUAGCAGAACAAGAAUCCCCUUUACAGCAUUCUCAGCAGGGAGUAAUUGCAGUCUCUACUUGAAACCCCCCAGUGAAGGGAAACUCACUACCUCCUGAGGCAACUUUUUCAACUUACUAUUUUGGACAGUUCUCCUCGUUAGCAAGUUUUUCUUAUAUGGAGGCAAAAACCUGCUUUUCAACAACUUCCAGCCAUUCCCUUUCCCAGUAAAAAAGGCAGGAUGUUCAAAGGAUGAGAGGAGUUCUUGGCUAGAAGGGCAGCAAGAGUGGUCAGGUCUGAGUUCAGCGCAUUCUCAGAGCAGUUCAUGAGGGAACAGCUGACCUUGAACAAGCUGAUUUGUUAAGGGCCAGCUCCAGUGGCCGAUUGGUCCAGAUGCAGUCCUGCCUUGCUGUGUUACAUUCCAGAGCCCCAGGUAGCUUCCUCUUCUCAUUUCCUCCCUCCCCAUGCCCUCAACGCUAGACAUAGGACUGGAUAAGAGCAGGAUUUACUAUAGACUUUCAGCUGGCCACAGCUCCUGGGACUCAACUUGGCCCCAGGCUCAGGGCAUCCAACUCUCUACUUGGCCUGAGAGGAAUGAUCUUUUCCCCACCAGAACACCCUUUCUACAAUUGAUUUCAGAUUCAUCCUCCUGGGCACUCUGGUCAAAGCUCAUUCUACCAUUCUACGCUCUCAGGCUCACUUAGACAGGGUAUACAAGUCUACCUUUCCAGAGUUGUAACUAGGGUAGGGCAGCUGCGGACUUGUCCAGGAGCUGAUUUCUGCUCUACUUCUUACCUGGUACAGUCUAGAGACUGCAGUCUCCAUACCUGAAGCUUCAUUAUCCUUCAUCAGGCACUAUUGCCAUAGGAUGUUGAUGAAAGGAAGCCGGGGGAGGUGAUAGAACACCAGUGGCAAAGAUAAGAGGAAGAAGGGAAGGAGGGGCCAGGGUACUCUUCUCUCCCAAUGAUUACAACCAAUCCAUACAUGUUUGGACUCCCUCUCUUAGGGCUCAUUGCCUCCCUUUCCAUUUGAAAGUCCUUCCUCCUGCUACUUCUCCUCACAGUCAUCCCCUUUCCAUUGUGCUGAUUUUCCUCCUCUACUGUUAACAAAUUUCCCUGAAUUCUACAUUUCUCCCUCUCCUGUUCCUUCCAUCUUCUGCUCAUUGAAACCUAGUGUUCUCCUAAAGAUGCCACCUCUCUUGACAACCUCUCCAAGGCAGAACAGGAAGAAAACCAGCAUUUAUUAAGUGCCUACUAUGUGACAGGCAGUGUGCUAAGCACUUUACAAAUAUUAUAAAUACUAUCUCAUUUGAUCUUGCCAAGAACCCUGGGAGAUAUGUAUCAUUACUAAUUUUAUUUUUUAUUAUUUUUUUACAUUUCUGUAUUAGUCAUG